rnacentral:misc_RNA from 1 species
GAUGAAGAACGUAGUGAAAUGCGAUAAGUAAUGCGAAUUGCAGAAUUUCCGUGAGUCAUCGAAUCUUUGAACGCACAUUGCGCCCACUGGUAUUCCGGUGGGCAUGCCUGUUCGAGCGUCAUUAUCCUCCCUCAAACCCCGGGUUUGGUGUUGGACCGAAGUUGUGUGAACAACUGGUCUAAAAGACAAUGACGGCGUCCGUGGGACCCUCGGUGCAACGAGCUUUCACAAGCACGCAUUGAGUUGCAAGGACCCUGCGGGCCGGUCUACUGUAACAUUUUCUUAAAGUUGACCUCGGAUCAGGUAGGAAUACCCGCUGAACUUAAGCAUAUCAAUAAGCGGAGGA